CCCGGGAGAUCCAGACGGCCGUGCGCCUGCUGCUGCCCGGGGAGCUGGCCAAGCACGCCGUGUCCGAGGGCACCAAGGCCGUCACCAAGUACACCAGCGCCAAGUAGACUCGCGCUCCAAAGGCUCUUUUCAGAGCCACCCAUGUUUUCCAGAGAGAACUGUCACUUAUUUUAUCCUACAGAAGAGGCCUUUGUUUGCACAGAAGAACCCAGUGGUGUUGGGAUGCAGGUGGAGGAAGAGGAACUUGGAAGCGAGAAGAAGGAAUCCAGCCCAGGAUGAGUGACCCCACAGAGACUCAUGGAGAACAGGCCUCCAGCUAACUGCAUCAGAAGGGACCCUCUUCUUGGACCUUGGAAGCUCCAGCUCCAGUCAAGCAUUUCUUGACUGUAAUCUCGUGAGAGACCCUGAACCAGAACAACCCAGCUAAGCUGUUCCCACAUCCCUGACCCUCUGAAACUCAGGACGUGACAUCUGGCGCGCAACCGUGGGGCUUGAAGAGGGAAGGAAGACUUCGAGUCUGCAUCAAGGGUUUCAAGGCGCAGGGCCUGGGACGGGCCGGCAAUCUACCUGGUAAGAGGUAGGGAAGGUCCCGAGGAAUUUAACCGAGGUAAACGGGAAUUAACCGAACAAUCUUUGUGUGAAAGAGUGUGAAUGUGUGAGUGAUUGAUUAUAGUUUCAAGGCUAAA